GAUUUCCGUUUCCUCAACGCUCGCAUCUCUCGGGCACGCCGCGCCCUUCGGGGCGGAGUCUCGGCCUGCACCCUCCCUCGCAUGCGCCGUGUCUGCAGGCGGCAACCGCUUACCAGGGUCAACCUCAGGCGAGUAGAGCAGCGGGAGGCACAUGGCAGCCACGGUUCGAAGCCAGGACGGUUCGAAGCCAGCCGUUUGCCAGCUUUUGUAUGACCGAGCUUUCCCACGGGACCGCUGUGGGCCUCCCAGUCCCUCCUGCCGCCCCGCGGGCCCUGGCGCUGCCGUCUCCCCAAAGCCACAGAGGCCCUUCCAGCAGCAGAAAACCCUCUACAGUUCGUCCCACCCUGGACAAGGUGGGCAGCCCAGGCCAGAGUGACAUAGUUCCCACGUUUUUCCCAGAAGUUCGACAGUUUUUAAGCAUCCGUGCCUCUCAAAUUUGUGUUAAGCCUUUGCUCAAUUUCUACAGUAUGGAAAUGGAUGAUUUUGUUCAUUUUUUUUCAGCUUUGUGCUUGCCUAUUUGGAAGACAAUUUCCUGAUCUCAUUUAGCAAUAGCUAAAAGUGCUAUCUCUUUUUUUCACAAAUCUUUUUUAAGUAAACUGCAUACAAUACUGAAAAUAAAAAUAAAAUACGAAUCCAUCAUGACAAUACCUCCUUGGUGAUUUAUUAAGCAGAACAACUUGGCACAUAGAAAUUUGAAAAUUUAAGAGCUAACAAGGCAAGAAUGUUACAAUUUUAUUUAUUUUCAGGAUUUAAAAAGGUCAUGGGAUUGCAAAGCUGCCAAGUGGCUGACUGGGGCCGCAGUACAUUACAGAGGUAUAGACAGAUCAUUCCGUGGAUGGACUGAAACUGGAGACUGAGUAAUUGGUGGCAACUUUUCCAAAGGAUCAUGUUUUUUUCUAAAUGU
rnacentral:lncRNA from 1 species